rnacentral:tRNA from 1 species
GCGCUCGUCGUUCAACGGAUAGGACACAAGCUUGCGGAGCUUGUAAUAGGGGUUCGAUUCCUCUCGAGCGCACAA